rnacentral:rRNA from 1 species
AGAGUUUGAUCAUGGCUCAGGAUGAACGCUAGCUACAGGCUUAACACAUGCAAGUCGAGGGGAAACGACAUCGAAAGCUUGCUUUUGAUGGGCGUCGACCGGCGCACGGGUGAGUAACGCGUAUCCAACCUGCCCACCACUUGGGGAUAACCUUGCGAAAGUAAGACUAAUACCCAAUGAUAUCUCUAGAAGACAUCUGAAAGAGAUUAAAGAUUUAUCGGUGAUGGAUGGGGAUGCGUCUGAUUAGCUUGUUGGCGGGGUAACGCCACCAAGGCGACGAUCAGUAGGGGUCUGAGAGGAAGGUCCCCCANAUUGGAACUGAGGCACGGUCCAAACUCCUACGGGAGGCA